AUGUCGCGGGCGGCGGGCGGCGAGUGCCGCAAGGAAGCGGCGGCCUGGGAGGGAGAGGACGGGCAGUGCGACUCGGGCAUCGAGUCGCUGCGCUCGCUGCCGGGCGGCAAGGAGACCCCCGCCGCCCCCGAGGCCGCCCCUGAGACCCUCGCCGAGACCACCGCCGCCGCCGAGGAGCGGCUGGACUCCAGCUACGGCUCCGGCGCCCUUCCUGAGGCUCUGCCCGGGCUGCCGGGCGUUCCGGGGAGCCGUCCCGAGGAGCCGUCGCCGCCGGCCGAGGGGCUCAGCCGGCAGCAGCUGGACGCGCUCACCUACCUUUCGGAGGACGGAGACACGUUGGUUCAUCUGGCCAUUAUCCACUGUGUCCCAGCUGUAGCACUCUGCUGCAUUGCUCAGCUACCCAGGGAGGUGCUGGAGAUACAAAAUGAUCUUUUCCAGACCCCGCUCCAUCUUGCUGUGUACCUGGAGCAGCCCCGCGUGAUCCAGGCACUGAUCCACAAGGGAGUGAACCCCGGGCUGCAGGACCGCAAUGGCAACACCCCGCUGCACCUGGCCUGUGAGCAGCAGCACCUGCAGUGCGCCCAGCAGCUGCUGGAGAGCACAGCCCCACCAGAGGGCACAGCUCAGCCCCACAGGCACCACCAGGACCUGCAGCUCCAGAACUGGCAAGGCUUGGCCUGUCUCCACAUCAGCACCUUGAAGGGGAACAUCCCAAUGAUGUCUCUGCUGCUUGAAAGUGGUGCCAACAUCGAUGUUCAGGAGGGCACGAGUGGGAAGACCCCCUUGCACCUGGCUGUGGAGUGCCACAACCGCAAGGCUGUCCAGUUCCUGCUGCGCAACGGGGCGUAUGUGGAUGCCCAGAUGUAUAAUGGUUGCACCCCGCUCCACCUGGCUGUGGGCCGCAAGGAUGCUGCCAUUGCCGCCAUCCUCUCACACUCUGGGGCUGACACUCUGCUGAGGAACAUGGAGAAUGAGACAGCCCAGGACCUGGCUGAUGGCAAUGAUGAUCUCCUCGCCUUGCUGCCCUUCGAUGACCUGAAGAUCUCAGGGAAGCCUGUUGUGUGCUCUGAAUGAGCAGCUGGACUCCUUUGGCCUAUUGGGCUUACUCCUUGCUCCGUGCUGCUGCCUGCUGGAACCUUGCCUGCCUGCAGUUCCGUAGGAGCAGAGUCACUCUGGGAAACUUAUUCCCCCGCUGCUCUGCUCUUUGGAAAAGUUUUGUUGGCCUCAGGCUGCCUUCACAGACAGAAGAAACUGGCAUUUUGAGCACUACACAGGGGAGGCUUUUCUUUCAGUAUCUGUACACUGCAGCAGGACUGAAUUUCCCCUCCUGGCCGUGGGCCUGACUUGUGGGGGUCUCCAGCAUAAACAGGGAAGGAGCAGGAGAGGACUCGUUUUCACACUGUUCGGCGGAUGGAGCAUCCUCUGGCACCCCCAAACGCCAUCAGAAUAAGUGUGGGCAUCAGGAGGCUGAGCAUUACACCAAGGGCCACGGACAUGAGGGCUGCAGGGGUUUCCCCCGUCUGCCCACUCCCUCGGGUCCUUUGCACCACAGAAGGUGAGUAGGAGUGCAGGGGCUUCCCCACUUGCAGAGCCUUUCUAGUGCUCAGGGCCAAGACUGGGAGAUCCCAGCCUGGUGCUCUGUUCCCAUGCUGUGCUGUCAGGCUGCAGGGCUGAAGAAAAAUUGUAGGAAAUGCCGGAAGACCAGGUUAUGGAUCCCUGCUUCUGCUGUUGUGCCUGAUAUCUUGCUGCUUUACCAUGCUGUGGUUUCCUCUUUCGCAAAGAGGACAAAAGAUCCUGCCCAAUCUCCUGGCUUGAAAGGGUAUUAAAAACUUACGGCAUGGGUCUUCCCUGGGUUUUAGAUUCCCCCAGGCUGAAAGUGGUCGAGAUGGCAGUAUUAUCUCCGUGCAACAUCCUUUCUGUUGUUCAGCUCACCACCCUUCCUUGCCCCCCUCUCCAGCCAGAGGAGCACGUGUGAUGCACAUGCGAUGCAUUACGAAACCAGCAGCCAAAGGUGCUGUGGGAAUGGAGGCAUGGAGCCUGCCUGACCCCACCUCAGCCAGGGAAAUUCCCCUCUUGUUGCCUGGGAGCAGCUGCUGUUGUUUUGGACAAAUCCUGGAUGACGCAAUUGCCCGAGAUGCUCUGGAGUGAGCCUUUGUCUUCUUCCUCCCUUCAUGUGAGGGAAUGCUACCACAAAAGCAGCGCGGGCACCCCCCAGGCUUCUCUGGAGGGUCUGGUCUCUUCAGCAGCCCUGGGCUGGAUUGUGUUUGUUUUGAAUCUUUGCCUCUCACCUUCUGGCAGGGCCUCAACCCUGUUGCAAACCCGUGCGGCUGCUUCAAUGCCACCUUCACAGGGGACAUGAGGCACUCCUGGGUUGCCCAAAGCAGGAAUGACAGGUGCUGCAGGGCAGAGUGGGAUAGUGGGGCCAGGGCUGCAGCUGGGAGCGAAGGAAAAAGGCAGAAACAAGUGAU